rnacentral:rRNA from 1 species
GCUCAAGAACUACGAAAGAUUGACGGGGCCGCACAAGCGGUGGAGUAUGUGGUUUAAUUCGAUGCAACGCGAAGAACCUUACCUGGUCUUGACAUCCCGGAGACCCUUAGGAAACUAGGGGGUGCUUCCAUCUGGAAGAAUCUGGAGACAGGUGCUGCAUGGCUGUCGUCAGCUCGUGUCGUGAGAUGUUGGGUUAAGUCCCGCAACGAGCGCAACCCUUGCCUUUAGUUGCCAGCAGUUCGGCUGGGCACUCUAAAGGGACUGCCGGUGUUAAACCGGAGGAAGGUGGGGAUGACGUCAAGUCCUCAUGGCCUUUAUGACCAGGGCUACACACGUACUACAAUGGCCGAUACAAAGGGCAGCGACACUGCGAGGUGAAGCCAAUCCCGUAAAAUCGGUCUCAGUCCGGAUUGGAGUCUGCAACUCGACUCCAUGAAGUUGGAAUCGCUAGUAAUCGUGGAUCAGCAUGCCACGGUGAAUACGUUCCCGGGCCUU